rnacentral:lncRNA from 1 species
UCCACCGCGGUCUCACUGUUGCGCCCAUCUUCUCCACGCGCAAUCUCUCGCCAGCUCCUAUGUCUUCACAACAAGCUCGAGUAGAAGAAGAAGAAGAAGAAGAAGAAGAAGAAGAAGAAGAAGAAGAAGAAGAAGAAGAAGAAGAAGAAGAAGAAGAACGCGUCCUCCUCGAGUGUGCUUCCGCCUGACUGGAAGAAGGGCGAUUGGUUGUCGUCCAUGGUGAUGGAGCAAGCGCGCAUCGAGCUUGUCGCUGAUGGGCUCCUGCUAGCGGAGGGAUGGAGCCUUAUCUCUCAUUAAAUAAGGUUUGAACUUUAUUUUGAAUUUUGCUUUUGUUGAACUAUUUUUAAAUUCAAAUUUUGACCUGUUCAAAUUUGAAUUAUGGUGAGCUAAGUUGAAACUACAAUUCACUAGUUUUAACUUUGCAAAAAGAUUCAAUUUAAUUGGAUUUACAAUUUGCAAGUUAGACCCUAUUGAAUUUCUAAAAUUUUCAAAAUAUAAAUUUAUUGCUCCAGGUGAAAGUGUAUUUCCUAAGGAUCAUUUUGCAAAAAGUUUCACUUGAUUUAGACUCUCUCAUAAAAACUUAUAAUGGUUCGAAUAUUUAGGGUUUUUUUGUAAAAGUGCCAUUCUAAUCCAGUGGUUUAAAUUAAAAACGUGAUAUGUUUUGUAUAAGGCUGGGACACGUGGCAGCUUCUGAUUGGUUGGUAUCGGUUAAGUUAAAAUGUGGAUCAUCGGAACUAGAUUUAAUAGUUGUGAUUGCGUAUCGAUUCGGUGACUUACCUAAGUGCACAUGGUGCAUUGGAUCUAAAUCGAACGGCUGAAAAAAUAGAGGCUCGCCGGCGGUGGCUAGUUCACCGGAGACUCACCGGAAAAUGUGAAGACGGCGGCGUGGCUCUGGGGUCGAGGGUUUCAAAGCUUAUUGGAAAUAUGCCCUAGAGGAAAUAAUAUUUGUAUUAUUUAUUUCCACAUUUAUAAUUAAGUAUUAUGUUCUAUAUUAUAACUAUCGUGAUUCUUGAAUAUGUGAUUCAUAGGAAAACUCAUUAGCACGUGUAGAAUGAUAGCUCAUUAACCUGAUUCCUAGUCUUGCCUCUAGGACUAGCUCAAGCGUUGUAUGAUGAUUAUGUUUUCCUGGUCAUAGGCAUUUAUUUAAUUUAAUGAGGAUGCCAACAACAUUGAGAGUAGGAUGUUAUAAGAAUGAUCAUAUUGAAUUGACCCAACUUGUUUGUCAUACUUAGAUAUGUUAUCAUCGCAAGUCUAUAGUAAUAACUCAAAGAGUUAAUGUAUGCCUAGUUCCUUAGACCAUGCGAGCAUCAAGUGACUUCAUAAUGGACAGUACACCUUUCGGGUUGCUCCAACAUCAGCUAUAACACAGUGAUCAUAACGACAACUUAUAGGUUUAUCGAAAAGUAUGUCAAGGGGCUAGAUAGCUCAAGAGUGGGAUUUGCUGCUCCUGUAAUGGAGAGAUGUUCUUAUGGCCCUAUCAGUUUGAUGGCAUCCACCAUCGUUUGUCCAGACACAUGUGACUAGGUCACAGGGAUGCCGGAACAUGACUACGAGAAAGAAGAACAAAACCGGUAACAAGGAGACCGGUAUAGUGAGCAUGUGUAUGACUCGCAGGGAUACCAACAUAUCUCACCACAAGUUUUGUAACUUAUCGUGAAGUCCAUGGUCCCGCUAUUGAUCAUAAGGUGUUUUCGUUCAUGUCUAUGUUUUACCAAACCUACAGGGUCACAUGCUUAAGGGAAUUAUGAUAUGUUGCUUUUAUUGGAUUGAAUAUGAGAAAAUACCGGGAUGGUUUCAGGAAUGAUAGAAAUAGUUUCGAGAGAAACCGAAAGCGUUUUGAAGUUACCAGAAGUGUUUCGGGGAAUACCGGAAAAUGAUAUACAGACGGAAGUAGUUUUGGGGGACCUAAUAUAAAUAAUAGAGGGCUUAUGUAAUUAUCUAGGAGUCCCUAAUAUUUAUUUAGAGUCAAUUGGCUAAAGAAAAUAUCUAUAAGGCCUGGUAGGGGAGAGUUAUGGGGCCAUAACACCCAAUAAGAGUGGGGCGCCUCCCUUAGCUUGUUGGAGACGCUUGGGAUGAAUUGGGGUUGGAUGAGGACUCCUCACAUAUCUCCGUCGUAUCUAUAAUUUUUGAUUGUUUCACGCCAAUAUUAUAAAACUUCCACAUAUUUUUGGCAAUAUUUUAUAUGAUUUAUUGGACUAACCUAUUGAUCCAGUGCCCAAUGCCAGUUCAUGUUUGUUGCAUGUUUUUGUUUUGCAGAAUAUCCAUAUCAAACAAAGUCCAAACGUGAUAAAAAUUUAUGGUAAAUUAUUUUGGAAUAUAUGUGAUUUUUGGGAGGUGGAAUCAAUGCAAACGGGGGCCCACAACCACCACAAGACACCUGGGCGCCACAGGCAGCCCAGGCGCGUGGUGGUGGGUUGUGCCCUCCUUGUAUGUCGGUUGGAGCUCUACUUCGGGCGCAAUGAAGCAUAUAUCCAGAAAAAAAUCGUGUUAAAAUCUCAACACAAUCGGAGUUACGGAUCUCCGGGAAUUUAAGAAACGGUGAAGGGCCAGAAAACAGGAACGUGAAACAGAAGAGAACAGAGAGACAGAUCCAAUCUCGGAGGGGCUCUUCGCCGCCAUGGAGGCCAUGGACCAGAAGGGAACCCUCCUCCCAUCUAGGGGGGGAUGAAGAAGAAUAAGGAGGGGGGCUCUCUCCCCCUCUCUCCCGGUGGCGCCGGAGCGCCGCCGGGGCAAUCAUCGUGACGACUACCUGCUCCAACAACUUCGCCGCCGUCACCACCAACUCUCCCCCCUCUAUGCAGUGGUGUAACACCCCUUUUCUCUGCUGUAAUCUCUACUUAAACAUGGUGCUCAACGCUAUAUAUUAUUUCCCAAUGACCUAUGGC